CCUACGGGAGGCAGCAGUGGGGAAUAUUGGACAAUGGGGGGAACCCUGAUCCAGCCAUGCCGCGUGUGUGAAGAAGGCCCUCGGGUUGUAAAGCACUUUCAGUGAGGAAGAACGCCUGGUGGUUAAUACCCAUCAGGAAAGACAUCACUCACAGAAGAAGCACCGGCUAACUCCGUGCCAGCAGCCGCGGUAAUACGGAGGGUGCGAGCGUUAAUCGGAAUUACUGGGCGUAAAGCGAGCGUAGGUGGCUUGAUAAGCCGGUUGUGAAAGCCCCGGGCUCAACCUGGGAACGGCAUCCGGAACUGUCAAGCUAGAGUGCAGGAGAGGAAGGUAGAAUUCCCGGUGUAGCGGUGAAAUGCGUAGAGAUCGGGAGGAAUACCAGUGGCGAAGGCGGCCUUCUGGACUGACACUGACACUGAGGUGCGAAAGCGUGGGUAGCAAACAGGAUUAGAUACCCUGGUAGUC
rnacentral:rRNA from 1 species